rnacentral:rRNA from 1 species
UACGGGGGGGGCAAGCGUUGUUCGGAAUUACUGGGCGUAAAGCGUGCGCAGGCGGUUUUGUAAGUCUGACGUGAAAUCCCCGGGCUUAACCUGGGAAUUGCGUUGGAGACUGCAAGGCUGGAGUCUGGCAGAGGGGGGUAGAAUUCCACGUGUAGCAGUGAAAUGCGUAGAGAUGUGGAGGAACACCGAUGGCGAAGGCAGCCCCCUGGGUUAACACUGACGCUCAGGCACGAAAGCGUGGGGAGCAAACAGG